CCUACGGGUGGCAGCAGUGAGGAAUAUUGGUCAAUGGGCGUAAGCCUGAACCAGCCAAGUCGCGUGAGGGAUGAAGGUUCUAUGGAUCGUAAACCUCUUUUAUAAGGGAAUAAAGUGUGGGACGUGUCCUAUUUUGUAUGUACCUUAUGAAUAAGGAUCGGCUAACUCCGUGCCAGCAGCCGCGGUAAUACGGAGGAUGCGAGCGUUAUCCGGAUUUAUUGGGUUUAAAGGGUGCGUAGGCGGAUUUUUAAGUCAGCGGUAAAAUGUCCGGGCUCAACCCGGGCCGGCCGUUGAAACUGGGGAUCUUGAGUGGGCGAGAAGUAUGCGGAAUGCGUGGUGUAGCGGUGAAAUGCAUAGAUAUCACGCAGAACUCCGAUUGCGAAGGCAGCAUACCGGCGCCCGACUGACGCUGAGGCACGAAAGCGUGGGGAUCGAACAGGAUUAGAUACCCCUGUAGUC
rnacentral:rRNA from 1 species